GUGUCUCAGAUAGCUCAACUGGUAGAGCUUUUGGCGCGUAACUAAAUGAUCCGGGUUCGAAUCCCGGUCUGUACA
rnacentral:tRNA from 1 species